rnacentral:rRNA from 1 species
UACGUAGGGGGCAAGCGUUGUCCGGAUUUAUUGGGCGUAAAGAGCGUGUAGGCGGCCAUACAGGUCCGUUGUGAAAACUGGAGGCUUAACCUCCAGACGUCGACGGAAACCGCGUGGCUAGAGUCCGGAAGAGGAGAGUGGAAUUCCUGGUGUAGCGGUGAAAUGCGCAGAUAUCAGGAGGAACACCGGUGGCGAAGGCGGGUCUCUGGGCCGAUGACUGACGCUGAGACGCGAAAGCGUGGGGAGCGAACAGG